rnacentral:rRNA from 1 species
GCAUAUCAAUAAGCGGAGGAAAAGAAACUAACAAGGAUUCCCCUAGUAACGGCGAGUGAAGCGGGAUGAGCUCAAAUUUAAAAUCUGGCUGGUUUACUAGUCCGAAUUGUAGUUUAUAGAAGCGUUUUCGGUGGCAGCCUGGGUAUAAAUCCUUUGGAAUAGGGUAUCAUAGAGGGGUGAGAAUCCCGUCUUUGACUCAGUGCAUGCUACUAUGUGAUACGUUUUCAAAAGAGUCGAGUUGUUUGGGAAUGCAGCUCAAAAUGGGUGGUAAAUUUCAUCUAAGGCUAAAUAUUGGCGAGAGACCGAUAGCGAACAAGUACCGUGAGGGAAAGAUGAAAAGAACUUUGAAAAGAGAGUUAAACAGUGCGUGAAAUUGUUGAAAGGGAAACGUUUGACACCAGUCAUGCGGGUGGAAAAUCAGUCUUUUGCAAUGGGGAGUUGUGGGCGUUCAGACCGCAAGGCUGGCGUUUGCUUCAUCUUUGUUGUAAGUGAUGCACUUUUUCAUUUGCAGGUCAACAUCAGUUUGCUUCGCUGGACAAAACUCUAAGGGAAGGUGACAGCUUAGGCUGUGUUAUAGCCCUGGAGCGAUACAGUGGGGUGGACUGAGGUUUCGCAGUGUGUGCUUUCGGGCAAGGCUGACGGGGUGCUAUGGGAUCGUUCGGCGUACAAUGCUUGCAUUUUGCGUCGUGUCUUUUUCAUACUCGCUCUAAUCAGCUCUUCCACGCUUAGGAUGUUGACUUAAUGGUUUUAAACGACCCGUCUUGAAACACGGACCAAGGAGUCUAACAUAUAUGCAAGUGUUUGGGUGGCAAACCCAUGCGCGUAAUGAAAGUGAAACGUAGGUGCGAUCCGCAAGGUGCAGCAUCGACCGAUCUUGAUAUUUUUGGAUAGAUUUGAGUAAGAGCAUAUAUGCUGGGACCCGAAAGAUGGUGAACUAUGCCUGAAUAGGGUGAAGCCAGAGGAAACUCUGGUGGAGGCUCGUAGCGAUUCUGACGUGCAAAAUCGAUCGUCAAAUUUUGGGGUAUAGGGGGCGAAAGACUAAUCGAAACCAUCUAGUAGCUGGGUUCCUGCGAA